AGUUAUGUGGCAGAGACUGGAACUAGAGAGCUAGGCUCUGACUGGUCUACUACAGCAAGGAAUGUGCCAGGGGCCAAUCUGAUGAACAUGUGGCAGAAGAUUUGGCAAUGGUGAAGAAACACUUGAGAUUGAAAUGCAACCACAGGUGGAGGCUUCACCCAAACUUUUCAGACGGAUGCGAGAUACAAAGUUACCCAAGUAUAAAUGGUUGAAGGUUUUGGAGAGCCAGACAAGAAGGCAGGAAAUGUGAUGUCACUUUUACUUCAAUAAACAUGAACAGCAGCAGGAGCAACAACAGCAUCAGCAGCCGAAACCUCAACUGCAAUAAGAGAUGCAGCAACCGCACCGACAACAUCAAGAGCAACAGCAAAAAUACCUACAUGUAU
rnacentral:lncRNA from 1 species